AUCCAAUCUUCCAUGCUAGACUGAUACAGUUUCCAUUAUAACUACUCUCUUGUAUGUUCAGUGUACUCACAUUGUUGUUUUCUUUUUCUAAACUUUGCUAGUUUUCAUGGGAGGAUUGGAAGAAUAUCAUGUCAUCAUUUACGCGAAAUUAAAACAUUUCCUAGAAAAAGAACAUAUUAGACAGAUGGGUGAACUAGAAAAGGCUGAAGAUUAUUUUGAUGAUCAUAUAAGUUGUUGAUUCUAAAACUGCAGGUGAGGCGAGAGAAGUCACCACACCUGCGAUCCCAAACAACCCCCAAGACCAGUUCAUCAUCCUUAGCCCGGCCAAGCGUCACCGAGAGUGAAUUUGACUCCCUCAUGGAGCUAGAUAUCAUGAAGGCCACAACAGAAAUGGGCUUUCCAGCUGACAAAGUUCGACCAGCUCUACGGAGGAGGCUAGAGCAGACAGGCCUGCCCUUCUUCAACCUGGAUGCUUGCAUCGAGGCCGUCCAGCAGUACAUGGAAGAGGAAACUCGCCUGGCCCUCUCGGAGUCAUCGGCUACAUCCAACAACUCCCCUCGUGCUGUGAUGGAGAAGGAGGCCGAGAAGGCACUUCCCUCUACCGAGCCUUUAAUCAAUGGGAGGCCACAGCCGUGUAAGUAUAAGUUGAAAAUGUUAGCUCCUACAAAGGCAUUGAUGUGAGCUUCCUUUUUGUUACAAUAGUGAAGCACUGUAAAAAAACUCUUGUCCAAUAUGUGUAUUAUACAUAAUAUGGAGGUCAUACAUUAAUCCACGCCAAAGGGGGAAGGAGGAGGCGAGGAGGGAAGGCGUUGAGAGCCGCCUAUCAGUCGAGCUCUCGCCUCUCCUUACGCAGGUAUGUGUGAAAUUAACUCCUACGGACAGUGAUUAUUUAGUGUGUUACAGUGUUAUUAUUAUACCUAUAACGGUCAAACUCAGACGAGCUCUGGCCUCUCCCUACGCAGGUCCCCUACUGACUGGGCGGUUACCCCCUUGUUGUGUAGUAAAAUAUGUAAAGUUUCCCUUUGUUGUGCCGAUCUAUGAUCACCCUCUGGUAUCUUAGACCCGCACGAAUGUCUCACGCCAUGAUUAACUCAGUAAUAGAAAAGGAGAAAUUUUUAGUGUCAUUUGUAUAAUCCAAUGUUUGUGUGGAUUCAUGACCACCUUCUUGGUGUCCUGAACCCCCACGACUACCUUGCUUCCAUGAUCAUCCCUGUGAAUACAUAUCAGUGGAAGGAAAACAUUUUUCUGUGAUAAUUAUGUAUCAUUGGACCGUGAUUAGGGUAGCUUGUUAUUUAGCAACGGUAAGGUGUUUAAGCUAUGGCCAGUGUACCAUAUCUACUAUAUAGUUGUAAAUGUCUGAAGAGAUGAGUGAGCCCUUUAAGGUGAAGAGGAGUGAUGAAUGAUAAUUAUUAAUUAGUAUUGUUACAUAACUCCAGCCAGCUCGCUACCAUUACCAACAGAAUGAUGAAUUGUAAAUAAUAUUGUUACAUAACUCCAGUAAGCUCGCUACCAUUACCAACAGCAUGAUGAAUUGUAAAUAAUAUUGUUGCUUAACUCCAGUAAGCUCGCUACCAUUACCAACAGCAUGAUGAAUUGUAAAUAAUAUUGUUGCUUAACUUCAAUAAGCUCGCUACCAUUAUAUACCAACAUAGUGUGAAUAAACCUCAUAAUUUAA